rnacentral:rRNA from 1 species
UACGUAGGGUGCGAGCGUUAAUCGGAAUUACUGGGCGUAAAGCGUGCGUAGACGGUUAUCUAAGUCGGAUGUGAAAGCCCCGGGCUCAACCUGGGAAUUGCAUUCGAGACUGAAUAGCUAGGGUGCGGCAGAGGGAAGCGGAAUUUCCGGUGUAGCGGUGAAAUGCGUAGAUAUCGGAAGGAACAUCAGUGGCGAAAGCGGCUUCCUGGACCAGCACCGACGUUCAGGCACGAAAGCGUGGGGAGCAAACAGG